rnacentral:rRNA from 1 species
UGGGGAAUCUUCGGCAAUGGGCGAAAGCCUGACCGAGCCAUGCCGCGUGAGUGACGAAGGCCUUAGGGUCGUAAAGCUCUUUCGCCAGGGAUGAUAAUGACAGUACCUGGUAAAGAAACCCCGGCUAACUCCGUGCCAGCAGCCGCGGUAAUACGGAGGGGGUUAGCGUUGUUCGGAAUUAUUGGGCGUAAAGCGUCCGUAGGCGGUUUAUCAAGUCAGUUGUUAAAGACUGCAGCUCAACUGUGGGCGAGCAACUGAAACUGAUGAACUAGAGUGCGGUAGGGGUAGAGGGAAUUCCCAGUGUAGCGGUGAAAUGCGUAGAUAUUGGGAAGAACACCAGUGGCGAAGGCGCUCUACUGGGCCGCAACUGACGCUGAGGGACGAAAGCUAGGGGAGCGAAAGGGAUUAGAUACCCCGGUAGUCC